UGGGGAAUAUUGCGCAAUGGGCGAAAGCCUGACGCAGCGACGCCGCGUGAGGGACGAAGGCCUUCGGGUCGUAAACCUCUUUCAGCAGGGACGAAGCGCAAGUGACGGUACCUGCAGAAGAAGCACCGGCUAACUACGUGCCAGCAGCCGCGGUAAUACGUAGGGUGCAAGCGUUGUCCGGAAUUAUUGGGCGUAAAGAGCUCGUAGGCGGCUUGUCACGUCUGCUGUGAAAACUCGGGGCUCAACCCCGAGCCUGCAGUGGAUACGGGCUAGCUAGAGUGCGGUAGGGGAGACUGGAAUUCCUGGUGUAGCGGUGAAAUGCGCAGAUAUCAGGAGGAACACCGGUGGCGAAGGCGGGUCUCUGGACCGAUACUGACGCUGAGGAGCGAAAGCGUGGGGAGCGAACAGG
rnacentral:rRNA from 1 species